CUGGUCGAGAGGCGUUGCAACGGAUAUUUUCGGGGGUCCUGGGCCCCUGGUAUCCGCCACGCUCGGCAGAGUCAAGGACGCCUUCCGCUACGGAAGGACGUACGUGAACGGCGCUGAAUCAGA
rnacentral:ncRNA from 2 species